rnacentral:rRNA from 1 species
UACAGAGGGGGCAAGCGUUGUUCGGAAUUACUGGGCGUAAAGGGCGCGUAGGCGGCCUGUUAAGUCGAACGUGAAAUCCCCGGGCUCAACCCGGGAACUGCGUCCGAUACUGGCAGGCUUGAAUCCGGGAGAGGGAUGCGGAAUUCCAGGUGUAGCGGUGAGAUGCGUAGAUAUCUGGAGGAACACCGGUGGCGAAGGCGGGUCUCUGGGCCGAUACUGACGCUGAGGAGCGAAAGCGUGGGGAGCGAACAGG